rnacentral:rRNA from 1 species
UACGAAGGGGGCGAGCGUUGUUCGGAUUUACUGGGCGUAAAGGGCGCGCAGGCGGCUAGUUUUGUCGAGUGUGAAAGCCCCGGGCUUAACCUGGGAACUGCGCUCGAAACGGGCUGGCUAGAGAUCGGGAGAGGAGAGUGGAAUUCCCAGUGUAGAGGUGAAAUUCGUAGAUAUUGGGAAGAACACCGGUGGCGAAGGCGGCUCUCUGGACCGAUACUGACGCUGAGGCGCGAAGGCGUGGGGAGCAAACAGG